UAGGGCUCAUCUAAAACCUAAGAUGGCGGCAUUUGCAUAGGGUGUAAGCGCUGCAGGCAUACUUUAUGUGAAAAGACGGCCAAAGGACGAGUCUCCUAAGGAAUGUCCAGAAACUUGCGGAUUAUUUGUGUUGUGG
ensembl:misc_RNA